GACGAACGCUGGCGGCGUGCUUAACACAUGCAAGUCGAACGGUGAAGGGACCGGUUUUUGCUGGUUCUGGAUGAGUGGCGAACGGGUGAGUAACACGUGAGUAACCUGCCCCCUUCUUCUGGAUAACCGCAUGAAAGUGUGGCUAAUACGGGAUAUUCUGCGCCUGCUGCAUGGUGGGUGUGGGAAAGAUAUUGUUUCGGUGGGGGAUGGGCUCGCGGCCUAUCAGCUUGUUGGUGGGGUGAUGGCCUACCAAGGCGGUGACGGGUAGCCGGCCUGAGAGGGUGGACGGUCACACUGGGACUGAGACGCGGCCCAGACUCCUACGGGAGGCAGCAGGGGGGAAUAUUGCACAAUGGGCGCAAGCCUGAUGCAGCGACGCCGCGUGAGGGAUGGAGGCCUUCGGGUUGUAAACCUCUUUCGCCAGUGAAGCAGGCCUGUCCCUUUUGUGGGUGGGUUGACGGUAGCUGGAUAAGAAGCGCCGGCUAACUACGUG
rnacentral:rRNA from 1 species